rnacentral:sRNA from 1 species
ACACCCCCAAUAUCCUGAAGGUGGGAAGAUGACUCAGUAUUUGGAGAACAUGAAAAUCGGGGAGACCAUCUUUUUUCGAGGGCCAAAGGGACGCUUGUUUUACCAUGGGCCAGGGAAUCUUGGAAUCAGACCAGACCAGACGAGUGAGCCUAAAAAAAAACUGGCCGAUCACCUGGGAAUGAUUGCUGGGGGCACAGGCAUCACACCCAUGUUGCAGCUCAUUCGCCACAUCACCAAGGACCCCAGUGACAUGACCAGGAUGUCCCUCAUCUUUGCCAACCAGGCUGGAAGUACAGCUCAGGCUUCGUUACUGCCGACAUGAUCAAGGAGCACCUUCCUCCUCCAGGGAAGUCCACGCUCAUCCUGGUGUGUGGCCCGCCACCGCUGAUCCAGACGGCGGCUCACCCUAACCUGGAGAAGCUGGGUUAUACCCAGGACAUGAUUUUCACCUACUAACACCUCCAUGUGCUCAGCAAAUCUGCAUGUCCCUUUUCAUCUGUUUCAGAGUAAGUUCAAUUUCACCACCUUAAACUGGGAUGUUUUCAAAAGUGCCUUGCCAUGUACCUUCGCGCACACACUGGUUCUCCUCUUUUGGGUGUGGGCCUAACAAAAAGGGCUCAAGGGGCUGGAGACUGGCUGCUGGGGCCUCCUUGCUUGGAGGCUGGAAAGAGCUCCAUUUCAGUAUCUUUCUCCGUGGUUUUGUGAAAUAAACUCAAGUACAAAGCA